CGGGGGAGGAGGAGGAGGAGGAGUGUGGCUGUCUCCGCUCACUUCUCCACAGCGAGGGGACUCCGAGAAUAAACAAUUCCCACAGACUACACGCUCCACACCUCAGCUCGCUCUCAGUCGCAGCACAAAAAAAGAAAUCCGUAAAGAAAGACAAAAAAUCGAGGCUUUUUUUUGGACUAAAAAUUUCGAUUCUUUUUUUUUUUUUAAAGGCUGCCUCGCCAUUUCUGUUUCCUGCCAAAAGUGUCGCGACCGUUUUCAUUGGAUUUGCCUGCUCCUGUCGAAUAAUAACGAUGCGCCUCUCCGGCUGACUGUGGGGUGGACAACGCAGGUCCCCCAUGUGAGAUCUGCAAAGCUGAAAGGCGCCACUGACAGAACCACAGCCAGGCCUUAGGACAGACAUCCCAAACAUCCACAGCCACGGAAUGUGUCAACAUCUUUGUGGUGAAAUCCCGCUGACUCCUCGCUUGCUGCUCACAUAAGCCUGGAGCUGGGCCUUCUGGGAUCCUACGGUGUUUAAAAGGCAUACAACAAUGCCUGGGAGGCCCACCUGCCCCAGAUUGCCUCCAACCAUGGUUGCUGUUUCACCACAGUGCUGACUGUGCCCACUACAGAGAGGGAUCACUUUCAGCUAGUGUAUCCUUCAGCCCCCCUGUAGACUCACUUGGUACAAUUGCCUGCCCCCUUUUUGUUAUUUAGGAAGUACAUGCCACUGUCAACCAGAUGACCUAGUGGACAUUUGUUUCCCAGUAGCAGUGCUGAGCCAUACG
rnacentral:lncRNA from 1 species